rnacentral:lncRNA from 1 species
GUCAAGCAUUCUGGUGAAAUGUGUUCAGGUAGGACCAUAGUCAGUGCAAAACGGAGAAAGAAGCCCCAUGCCACAUGUAGGCCCAACAUACUGACAACGGCAACAAUCUCCUAAGAGACGCAUUUGCCAAUAAAGACGUAUGGGGUUUGUGCCAGCUGUGUAAAGACCUGAACGAGUUUCACCAGUGUAAAACGACCAGACAGUGACUCUUAACCACCAUAACGAGGCGGAUGGAUAUGCUUCCUCCUCCAGAGACAUCAGAUUCACUUACGACAUAGCCCGCCUCCAUGCCAAGAUUGUCUCGGUUGCCGAAGUUUGUCUUCUGGUUAAUUGCAGGGUUGACGUUUAAUAUGGAAUAUAAUGAUUACUAUCUAUUGUACUAUUCAAAACGUGCAUCAAGUGAUAAAUGCACGUAUCCAGCAUUUUAAUUCAUGAAAUUCUGAACAAGAAAAGAAAGAGGUGGACUAAAGCUAUGUUAAGCAUCAACCCUGAUUUAACAUCCUACAUGUAAAAAGGUAUAAAGGAAACCUUUUCGUAAUACACGUUGUGUUCAGUUGAAGGAGACAGCGAUGUGCUUAGUUACAAUAAUCUAAUUAAGGUGUACCCAAGAUUAUUACAAUUCAAAUAUUAUAUUGGCAUUAUUAUGAAACUGGCUAAAUGCGUUUAAUUUUUUGCAGAAUUGCCUUAACGUAUUGAAGCAAUCUUUCUCAACACUGUGAAUAUGAAUAUGCAAUUGUAACGCAUGCUAGGAACCUUUUUGUUUCUCUGUAUUUUUACACUCUGUGUGUGUGUGUGUCCAGAGACAGACCCAUAUUUUCAGUGCUGGAGGGGCGUCAAUAUGUUAGUUUAAAGAAAUGUUAAACCAUAUGAUGGAUAGAAAAAAAUUCCCGAAAUAAUUUUGUAUUUGUUAAUGUAAUAGGAGAAUAUGUACGGUGUGUUGAUGAUAAGAAAAUGUCCCUACUUGCGCUACCAGCAUUGAGUUCAUUUAUGUGUUGUUCUCAAGUUUUUUUCGCUAUCAGAAAGUAGAAAUGGUAAAUGUUUACAAAAAAAUCGGUCAAUUAUAGGCGGUCACUUAUUCCACAUCUUUUCACUAUUAAAAGGUCAAUGUAGGACUGGCAUUUGUAAUAACCUUUGAGAGAUUUUGAAAAAUCUUUAUCUUAUUGCAGCAUUGUUAUUGAAAGCUUAAUUUGAGUGGGGUUCACAAGUAUACCUAAAAACAAAUGCAGUUUUAUAACCCGCCAUCUUUGGUCAGUCUUGUACAAAUAAAAUAUGAAACAAUUUUAUUAGAAAUUUGCAAAAAAAAAAAAAUAUUCAAAAUUAAUACAUAACACUUAGUUUUGGUAGAUUAUUUUAGGAGUUCGUGUGGUUUGGUCAGUUAUUUACCGAACUAGUAUCUAAGGAAAUACCUUUUGACAGCAUUUUGUUUCUCUUAACAACUAGUGAUUCCAUAUUCCAUCAAAAAUGAAUAUAAUUUCACUGUUUAGUUUGAAAUGUCCAGUCAAAGUUUGUUUAAAAAUCAAGGGGUGAUUGAGAAAGAAAUAUAUUAUUUGAUGUCAGUCCUGCACGUCCUGUUGGGUUAUUUUAACUGAGCGUUCUUGGAUCACGGAACACCAAAAAUCGGAGUUCAGUUUAUUGGAAUUUUCUAAAUGAAUGUAAUGAGUUAUUUCAUACUUAUUGAUUUUUAUAACCUUUUCAACUUUGUUUGGAUAUCAUUCUUUUAAAUGGCUCUUGCUGGGAUAAGCUUGUAAACUGACCGUGUAUUUAUGCCGUUCCUGAUUCACAUGCUGUGCAAAUUUAGGUUUUUACCCAACGUACUUAUUUUGUUUUUUUUUUAAUUUGAAGAAAAAAUAAUGUUAAACUUGAGAUGGGCGCAAUAAACAUUUCAUCUAAAAUGCGGGUGGAACUGGUUUUGCAUAUGAAUGUGAUCAUCAGCAGGACGGCAUAGAACAAGGUUUACACGUGCAUGCGGACGGGGGUAACCCUUACACGAGAUUAUAUUUAUUUUGAAUAUGUACAAAAAUGUUCUUCUAUUACAUUUGUCAUCAAUUGUAAGACGAGCACUGUCAACUGAACUGAAGCUGAAGAGUACAUGAAUAUAGCCAAUUUUCCAGUUUGUAUGUUAAUUCUUGCCUAAACCCUGUAUAUUUAAUAUUCUGGUUAUACAGCAUUAUGUCGAUUAUAGUAUUCCUAAACUUUUUUAUAGAGCCAAAGAAUUAUAAUCUUAAGCAGCAAAGUUCGAAAUGCAUAAAAUAUUUGGCAUUUUUUUAGAGAUAGUGGACAUUUAAAAGUAUGUUUAUUAUUUGUUCAUAUUACAAAACAUUUAUAUAUAAUUCAAAAUACGUUGCAGGUGGUGACUGGUAAUAUAGAGAUCAAAAAUGUACUUGUAUGGUAUUGAUACUUUUGUGAUACUCUGUAUGCUACAAUUGUUAGAAUUGAUUUGGACAAUAAUAAACGCUAAUAUGUAUA